AGUGAACGCUGGCGGUAGGCCUAACACAUGCAAGUCGAACGGCAGCACAGUAAGAGCUUGCUCUUACGGGUGGCGAGUGGCGGACGGGUGAGGAAUACAUCGGAAUCUACUUUUUCGUGGGGGAUAACGUAGGGAAACUUACGCUAAUACCGCAUACGACCUACGGGUGAAAGCAGGGGAUCUUCGGACCUUGCGCGAUUGAAUGAGCCGAUGUCGGAUUAGCUAGUUGGCGGGGUAAAGGCCCACCAAGGCGACGAUCCGUAGCUGGUCUGAGAGGAUGAUCAGCCACACUGGAACUGAGACACGGUCCAGACUCCUACGGGAGGCAGCAGUGGGGAAUAUUGGACAAUGGGCGCAAGCCUGAUCCAGCCAGACCGCGUGGGUGAAGAAGGCCUUCGGGUUGUAAAGCCCUUUUGUUAGGAAAGAAAAGCAGCAGGCUAAUACCCCGCUGUUCUGACGGUACCCAAAGAAUAAGCACCGGCUAACUUCGUG
rnacentral:rRNA from 1 species